GAUGGCCUGAUCCGUCAGGGUGCCCCGUAACGCGCUUGUAUGGGGAUAAUCGGGAAAGUGAUGCAAUUUCACUGCUGUCCCCGCAACGGUGAUCGAGUCGGAAACAGGGCAUCGGUUUCGAUGCAGUCACUGAACUUACGAGUUCGGGAAGACUUGUUUCAACAUGGUCUCUGGCCAUCGCUCGUCAGCCCGGAGACCGGCCCUGACUGCAUGCCAGGC
rnacentral:ncRNA from 2 species